AGAACGAACGCUGGCGGCAGGCCUAACACAUGCAAGUCGAACGCCCCGCAAGGGGAGUGGCAGACGGGUGAGUAACACGUGGGAACAUACCCUUCGGUUCGGAAUAACUCAGGGAAACUUGAGCUAAUACCGGAUACGUCCUGGCGGAGAAAGAUUCAUCGCCGAAGGAUUGGCCCGCGUCCGAUUAGCUAGUUGGUGAGGUAAUGGCUCACCAAGGCGACGAUCGGUAGCUGGUCUGAGAGGAUGAUCAGCCACAUUGGGACUGAGACACGGCCCAAACUCCUACGGGAGGCAGCAGUGGGGAAUAUUGGACAAUGGGCGCAAGCCUGAUCCAGCCAUGCCGCGUGAGUGAUGACGGCCUUAGGGUUGUAAAGCUCUUUCGUCAGGGACGAUAACGACGGUACCUGAAGAAGAAGCCCCGGCUAACUUCGUGCCAGCAGCCGC
rnacentral:rRNA from 1 species